CGUGUCGUGAGAUGUUGGGUUAAGUCCCGCAACGAGCGCAACCCUUGAUCUUAGUUACCAUCAUUAAGUUGGGCACUCUAAGGUGACUGCCGGUGACAAACCGGAGGAAGGUGGGGAUGACGUCAAAUCAUCAUGCCCCUUAUGACCUGGGCUACACACGUGCUACAAUGGACGGUACAAAGAGCUGCAAGACCGCGAGGUGGAGCUAAUCUCAUAAAACCGUUCUCAGUUCGGAUUGUAGGCUGCAACUCGCCUACAUGAAGCUGGAAUCGCUAGUAAUCGCGGAUCAGCAUGCCGCGGUGAAUACGUUCCCGGGCCUUGUACACACCGCCCGUCACACCACGAGAGUUUGUAACACCCGAAGUCGGUGGGGUAACCUUUUGGAGCCAGCCGCCUAAGGUGGGACAGAUGAUUGGGGUGAAGUCGUAACAAGGUAGCCGUAUCGGAAGGUGCGGCUGGAUCACCUCCUUUCUAUGGA
rnacentral:rRNA from 1 species